rnacentral:rRNA from 1 species
AUUGAACGCUGGCGGCAGGCCUAACACAUGCAAGUCGAGCGGAUGAAGGGAGCUUGCUCCUGGAUUCAGCGGCGGACGGGUGAGUAAUGCCUAGGAAUCUGCCUGGUAGUGGGGGAUAACGUCCGGAAACGGGCGCUAAUACCGCAUACGUCCUGAGGGAGAAAGUGGGGGAUCUUCGGACCUCACGCUAUCAGAUGAGCCUAGGUCGGAUUAGCUAGUUGGUGGGGUAAAGGCCUACCAAGGCGACGAUCCGUAACUGGUCUGAGAGGAUGAUCAGUCACACUGGAACUGAGACACGACCCAGACUCCUACGGGAGGCAGCAGUGGGGAAUAUUGGACGCUGGGCGAAAGCCUGAUCCAGCCAUGCCGGGUGUGUGAAGAAGGUCUUCGGAUUGUAAAGCACUUUACGUUGGGAGGAAGGGCAGUAAGUUAAUACCUGGCUGUUGUGACGUUACCAACAGAAUAAGCACCGGCUAACUUCGUG